GUAUUGGUAGAUGUGCCAGGGGCUCACCAACUGUGCUGCCCCGAGAGACAUCCCAGGAGGUCUGUACAGACUCCAGGGAUGCCUGGGAGAUUCCUGUCUGGGUGCUGGUGAUGAUUCAGUGAUUCUCCUGGAGUUGGACAAAAGACCUGCCCUCCCAGCUGUCUGGGUGCUGGUGAAGACAUUGUAGUUCUGGACUGACGAAGCAAAAUAAAUCAUUGAAAGCCCAACUUUUAACUGAAAACCAACUUCAUGUACCACUCCCAAAAUGAGUGAGCAGGUCUCAUACUCAACUGUGAGAUUUAAAAAGUCUUCAGGCUUACAGAACCAAGUGAGGUCUGAGGAGACUCAAGGGGCCAAAAAGCUGGCCACAGAAGUAAGAGUUUUUAGUGUCUAAUAUCAGUUGCUUUUUAUGCAUUUUAAACUUUCAACAGUUUAAAAAUACCUUACUGGCUUCUAUUGAAAACUAUCAUGUUCCAUUUUAUCUGCACAUAGUUAUGCACAAGAGUAGAAGGGAACCGUGAGUAUUAACUGAUUAUAUUGAUGGCAAUUAAGUACAAAAUUGUUCAAAACAUAAUUUAAAAAAUAAAACAAUCAAGUUUUAAAAUUAUAAAAGGAAGCAUGAUAAACUACUUCUACUCUUUAGCUUUUAGUCAGUUACCGAAUAAAUCAGAUAAGGAGAGAAGAACAAUGGGAAAAUGCAGGGGAAAAAAAUCUUGAGAAUCCAGAAGGGAGAAGAAAGACUGAAAUGUGCAUGUUUCCAUCCUUCAUAGAAGGGGGAACAAAAUACUCACAGGAGCAAAUACAGUGAUAAAGACUGAAGCAGAGCCCAAAGAAAAGGACAUUGAUAGAUUGACCUACAUGGGGAACAAUCCCAUAUGCAACCACCAAACCCAGUUAAUAUUGCUGAUGCCAUGAAGUGCAUGUUGAGAGGAGCCUGAAGUGGACGUUUCCUGAGAGGGCCUGCCAUAGUUUUAAUUAUACAGAUGAGGAUGCUUGCAGCUAAUCAUCAAACUGAGCAUUGGGGUCCCCAGUGGAGGAUCUAGAGAAAGGACUGAAGGAUUUGAAAGGGUUUGUAACCCCAUAGGAAAAACAACAAUAUAAAUCAACUCAAAUCUUCCAGGGACUAAAACACCAACCAAGAGUACACAGAGAGGGAC
ensembl:lncRNA